rnacentral:rRNA from 1 species
UACGUAGGGGGCAAGCGUUGUCCGGAUUUAUUGGGCGUAAAGAGCGUGUAGGCGGCCAGACAGGUCCGCUGUGAAAACUCGAGGCUCAACCUCGAGAUGUCGGUGGAAACCGUCUGGCUAGAGUCCGGAAGAGGAGAGUGGAAUUCCCAGUGUAGAGGUGAAAUUCGUAGAUAUUGGGAAGAACACCGGUGGCGAAGGCGGCGCUCUGGACCGAGACUGACGCUGAGGCGCGAAAGCGUGGGGAGCAAACAGG